UAGCUACAGGCUUAACACAUGCAAGUCGAGGGGCAGCAUGGUCUUAGCUUGCUAAGGCUGAUGGCGACCGGCGCACGGGUGAGUAACACGUAUCCAACCUGCCGUCUACUCUUGGCCAGCCUUCUGAAAGGAAGAUUAAUCCAGGAUGGCAUCAUGAGUUCACAUGUCCGCAUGAUUAAAGGUAUUUUCCGGUAGACGAUGGGGAUGCGUUCCAUUAGAUAGUAGGCGGGGUAACGGCCCACCUAGUCAACGAUGGAUAGGGGUUCUGAGAGGAAGGUCCCCCACAUUGGAACUGAGACACGGUCCAAACUCCUACGGGAGGCAGCAGUGAGGAAUAUUGGUCAAUGGGCGAUGGCCUGAACCAGCCAAGUAGCGUGAAGGAUGACUGCCCUAUGGGUUGUAAACUUCUUUUAUAAAGGAAUAAAGUCGGGUAUGCAUACCCGUUUGCAUGUACUUUAUGAAUAAGGAUCGGCUAACUCCGUGCCAGCAGCCGCGGUAAUACGGAGGAUCCGAGCGUUAUCCGGAUUUAUUGGGUUUAAAGGGAGCGUAGAUGGAUGUUUAAGUCAGUUGUGAAAGUUUGCGGCUCAACCGUAAAAUUGCAGUUGAUACUGGAUGUCUUGAGUGCAGUUGAGGCAGGCGGAAUUCGUGGUGUAGCGGUGAAAUGCUUAGAUAUCACGAAGAACUCCGAUUGCGAAGGCAGCCUGCUAAGCUGCAACUGACAUUGAGGCUCGAAAGUGUGGGUAUCAAACAGG
rnacentral:rRNA from 1 species